rnacentral:rRNA from 1 species
AAAAACAGCCAAUGAUUUAUACUUAAAGGAACCAGAUUCCAUCUUAUCUUGGAAGCUAAUCAGGGUCAGCUCUAGUUUGUACUUCAAUGGGAGACCACCAGUAAAUACCAGGUGCUAUAUUUC